rnacentral:rRNA from 1 species
AUUGAACGCUGGCGGCAUGCCUUACACAUGCAAGUCGAACGGCAGCACGGGUGCUUGCACCUGGUGGCGAGUGGCGAACGGGUGAGUAAUACAUCGGAACAUGUCCUGUAGUGGGGGAUAGCCCGGCGAAAGCCGGAUUAAUACCGCAUACGAUCUACGGCUGAAAGCGGGGGACCUUCGGGCCUCGCGCUAUAGGGUUGGCCGAUGGCUGAUUAGCUAGUUGGUGGGGUAAAGGCCUACCAAGGCGACGAUCAGUAGCUGGUAUGAGAGGACGACCAGCCACACUGGGACUGAGACACGGCCCAGACUCCUACGGGAGGCAGCAGUGGGGAAUUUUGGACAAUGGGCGAAAGCCUGAUCCAGCAAUGCCGCGUGUGUGAAGAAGGCCUUCGGGUUGUAAAGCACUUUUGUCCGGAAAGAAAUCCUUGGCCCUAAUACGGUCGGGGGAUGACGGUACCGGAAGAAUAAGCACCGGCUAACUACGUG